rnacentral:rRNA from 1 species
UACGUAGGGACCGAGCGUUGUCCGGAAUCAUUGGGCGUAAAGAGCGUGUAGGCGGCCACUUAAGUCCUGCGUGAAAUCUUGCGGCUCAACCGCAAGCGGUCGUGGGAAACUGGGUGGCUAGAGUGCGGGAGAGGAGAGUGGAAUUCCUGGUGUAGCGGUGGAAUGCGCAGAUAUCAGGAAGAACACCCGUGGCGAAGGCGGCUCUCUGGAACGCAACUGACGCUGAGACGCGAAAGCUAGGGUAGCGAACGGG